rnacentral:ncRNA from 1 species
AAAACGGCUCUUUUAAGAGCCACCAACACAUAAAAGAAUGUAAACG